GACGAACGCUGGCGGCGUGCCUAAUACAUGCAAGUAGAACGCACAGUUUAUACCGUAGCUUGCUACACCAUAGACUGUGAGUUGCGAACGGGUGAGUAACGCGUAGGUAACCUGCCUGGUAGCAGGGGAUAACUAUUGGAAACGAUAGCUAAUACCGCAUAAUAUUAAUUAUUGCAUGAUAAUUAAUUGAAAGGUGCAAUUGCACCACUACCAGAUGGACCUGCGUUGUAUUAGCUAGUAGGUGAGGUAACGGCUCACCUAGGCGACGAUACAUAGCCGACCUGAGAGGGUGAUCGGCCACACUGGGACUGAGACACGGCCCAGACUCCUACGGGAGGCAGCAGUAGGGAAUCUUCGGCAAUGGACGAAAGUCUGACCGAGCAACGCCGCGUGAGUGAAGAAGGGUUUCGGAUCGUAAAGCUCUGUUGUAAGAGAAGAACGGGUGUGAGAGUGGAAAGUUCACACUGUGACGGUAGCUUACCAGAAAGAGACGGCUAACUACGUG
rnacentral:rRNA from 1 species